GAUGAACGCUGGCGGCGUGCCUAAUACAUGCAAGUCGAGCGAACAGAUGAGGAGCUUGCUCCUCUGACGUUAGCGGCGGACGGGUGAGUAACACGUGGAUAACCUACCUAUAAGACUGGGAUAACUUCGGGAAACCGGAGCUAAUACCGGAUAAUAUAUUGAACCGCAUGGUUCAAUAGUGAAAGACGGUUUUGCUGUCACUUAUAGAUGGAUCCGCGCCGCAUUAGCUAGUUGGUAAGGUAACGGCUUACCAAGGCGACGAUGCGUAGCCGACCUGAGAGGGGGAUCGGCCACACUGGAACUGAGACACGGUCCAGACUCCUACGGGAGGCAGCAGUAGGGAAUCUUCCGCAAUGGGCGAAAGCCUGACGGAGCAACGCCGCGUGAGUGAUGAAGGUCUUCGGAUCGUAAAACUCUGUUAUUAGGGAAGAACAAAUGUGUAAGUAACUAUGCACGUCUUGACGGUACCUAAUCAGAAAGCCACGGCUAAC
rnacentral:rRNA from 1 species